GCCGAUUUGGUCCUAGUCCCAAUUUUAGCUAUUUCCAAACUGCCACAUGCAAGCUAACUAGCCCCCCAGUGAAAUUAACACUACUUUACCCCAACCUUCCAAGUAAAGGAGUAAAAUAGUCAAUCAGCAUCAGGAGCAGCAAACGCCCAACUACGCUAAGUAAAUCGCCACAACUGCAGUGCUAAACAUUAGACAAUCAGGAAAACCUGGAUCUAGUAAAGAAUGAAAAGGAGGUUAAGUACGUGCCAGCCACCGCGGUUAUACGUACAUCCUGCAGCUAAAAUCACUACGGUAAAAAGGAUGGUUAGAAUAGACACUUUACUUUUAGCUCUGAACCAGCAAUAGAAAGCUUACUUUAGAAGAAAAUCUGUGAAAGUAACAUAGAAUUUGAGCCCAUGAAAACUAAGACCUAAACCAGGAUUAGAUACCCUGCUAUACUUAGAAGUUAACAACCUUUAGCACCAGAGAACUACGAACUAUUAAGUUUAAAACUCAAAGGACUUGGCGGUUUUUCAAAUCUCCCUGGAGGAGCUUGCCAUCAAAUCGAUAAUCCACGUUAUACCUCACCAGCUUUUGAAAAUAUCAGCCUGUAUACCAUCGUCGUAAGUCUACUUCUCAAGAAAGUUGACAAAAAGGAGAAUCCCCUAGACGUCAGAUCAAGGUGCAGCUUAUAAGCCGGGGAUCGGUGAGCUACAAUGUUCAAAACGACCAGUGGAAGAGAGACUGAAAAGCUUCUCUGAAAUUGGAUUCAGCAGUAAGCAUCAAAACGAAAGUGAUGCUGAAGUGAGCUCUGAAAUGCGUACACAUCGCCCGUCACUCUCGCCUAACUAGCCAAUUUAUAGCAAGGGGAGAAAAGUCGUAACAUAGUAGGCAUAUCGGAAGAUGUGCCUGGAAAAU
rnacentral:ncRNA from 1 species